rnacentral:rRNA from 1 species
GUGCCAGCAGCCGCGGUAAUACGUAGGGGGCAAGCGUUGUCCGGAAUUAUUGGGCGUAAAGCGCGCGCAGGCGGUCAUUUAAGUCUGGUGUUUAAUCCUGGGGCUCAACCCCGGGUCGCACUGGAAACUGGGUGGCUUGAGUACAGAAGAGGAGAGUGGAAUUCCACGUGUAGCGGUGAAAUGCGUAGAUAUGUGGAGGAACACCAGGUGGCGAAGGCGACUCUCUGGGCUGUAACUGACGCUGAGGCGCGAAAGCGUGGGGAGCAAACAGGAUUAGAUACCCUGGUAGUCC